rnacentral:misc_RNA from 1 species
AACGCAUAUUGCGCCCUUUGGUAUUCCGAGGGGCAUGCCUGUUCGAGCGUCAUUAUAACCAUAUCAAGCUCGGCUUGAAAUUGGGGCCCGUCUUUGGGCGGCCCUUAAAUAUAGUAGCAGUGCUACCAGGCCCUAAGCGUAGUAACUAUCCUCGCUACAGGGUCCUAGGAGAUACUUGCUAUAACCCUUCUUUAUUAGGUUGACCUCGGAUCAGGUAGGGUUACCCGCUGAACUUAA